GACGAAGGAUGCAAGCGUUAUCCGGAUUCAUUGGGUUUAAAGGGUCCGUAGGCGGUUUGGUAAGUCAGUGGUGAAAGCCCAUCGCUCAACGGUGGAACGGCCAUUGAUACUGCCAGACUUGAAUUAUUAGGAAGUAACUAGAAUAUGUAGUGUAGCGGUGAAAUGCUUAGAGAUUACAUGGAAUACCAAUUGCGAAGGCAGGUUACUACUAAUGGAUUGACGCUGAUGGACGAAAGCGUGGGUAGCGAACAGG
rnacentral:rRNA from 1 species